rnacentral:rRNA from 1 species
AGUGAACGACUAGCGGCAGGCUUAAUACAUGCAAGUGAGGGGCAGCACGAUAUACGCGAGUAUAUUGAUGGCGACCGGCGGACGGGUGAGUAAGUAGGUAGGACGACCUACCUCAGUACAGGGGGAUAGCAUAGAGAAAUCUGUGGUAAUACCCCAUGAGGUUAUAUGAAUAGAGGCAAUAUAAAUCAAAGCAUAAGCGAUUAUGCGGUAUGAGAGGGGCCUACUGACCAUUAGCUAGUUGGUGAGGUAAGGGCUCACCAAGGCGAAGAUGGUUAGGGGUUUUGAGAGAGAGACCCCCCACAUUGGAACUGAGAGACGGUCCAGACUCCUACGGGAGGCAGCAGUAGGGAAUAUUGGGCAAUGGGCGAAAGCCUGACCCAGCCAUGCCGCGUGAAGGAAGACGGCCUUAUGGGUUGUAAACUUCUUUACUACGCGAAUAGAGGUUAGUACGAGAUACUAAUAGGAAGGUAGUGUAGUAAAAAGCACCGGCUAACUCCGUG